rnacentral:lncRNA from 1 species
CUCAUCCUGCCACCCAGCCGUUGGUCGGCGGGGGAAGCCAGAACACAACGUGUCUGACUGACUCUGAGGCGGAGGCUUUUCCACUGGCCAACCACACACACACAGAAACCAUUCAGCUCAUCAGAGCUGUCACUCUAAGCCGCCGGAAAAGAGACGUGUGUGUGUGUGAUUUAUUUAGUUAAAGACGAUGGAUAAACGUUUUAAUCAGAACUCACAUUAGUGUCAUGUGACACUUGGCUACGUUCAAUGUAGUUGAUGGAUAAAGUGAUUGGUUCAUAUUGUCACGUCCUCUGUGUCUCUCCUGUGAUUGGCAGAUGUCAACGAGUGCAUCAAGAAGAAUGGAGGAUGUAACCACGAGUGUAACAACACUAUGGGUAGCUACCAUUGCUCCUGUCACCGCGGUUACAUGCUGGUCGGACCCCAGAGGUGUAACGGUAAGAGAGACACACACACACACACCUUACCUGAAGGAACUAUUGAACUGUCCUUACUGUGUGUGUGUGUGUGUGUGUGUGUGUGUUUCAGACGUGGAUGAGUGCCAGGAUCAAUGGUAGCUACCCAUAGUGUUGUUACACUCGUGGUUACAUCCUCCAUUCUUCUUGAUGCACUCGUUGACAUCUGCCAAUCACAGGAGAGACACAGAGGACGUGACAAUAUGAACCAAUCACUUUAUCCAUCAACUACAUUGAACGUAGCCAAGUGUCACAUGACACUAAUGUGAGUUCUGAUUAAAACGUUUAUCCAUCGUCUUUAACUAAAUAAAUCACACACACACACGUCUCUUUUCCGCGGCUUAGAGUGACAGCUCUGAUGAGCUGAAUGGUUUCUGUGUGUGUGUGGUUGGCCAGUGGAAAAGCCUCCGCCUCAGAGUCAGUCAGACACGUUGUGUUCUGGCUUCCCCCGCCGACCAACGGCUGGGUGGCAGGAUGAGUCACCACAGAAUAGUG